UACCCACUAGAGCAGCUACACAGCCCGCGGCUUGGAAUGACACCAAUGUUCUUUCCUCCAAUUGCCAAAGUAACAGUGACAAAGGGGCUGUACUUUUUUCCGUCUUGGUCUUGCCUACUCAGUGGUGUUUGGAUAAUCAUACUAAUUGGAUUGGGUAUAAAUAAUACCCCUUGAUUUCCUUGCUUUCAUAAGAAAGUGGUUUAGAGUAGAGAGAAGCAGUGCCUCUUACGGCAGAAGUAGUUUGGGAUAUGGCCAUUCCCCAGCAAGGAUGCAGCUGGGCAUAGACCCAGGGCCUGGCUUUGGUGGAGGAGAGGACCUGGAGUUGGGCCUACAAAACAUCCAGUCAGCUGCAGAAGAGGAGAACGAGCAAAUCUUCACAAGAACUCCGCAACCCUGUAAUCCCGCUGACUGCUGUGUGAAAGAUCGGCCAAGAGCUCAGAGUUUAGGGGAAUGAAAAGGGCUCGCAGCCCCUCGCCCUGAAGAACACGAGCCCGUGGAGGACCGAGGAAAUGAAAAUAAAAUGCCCGGUUUGAAUAGGGAGCCA
rnacentral:lncRNA from 1 species